rnacentral:rRNA from 1 species
UACGUAGGGUGCAAGCGUUAAUCGGAAUUACUGGGCGUAAAGCGUGCGCAGGCGGUGAUGUAAGACAGAUGUGAAAUCCCCGGGCUCAACCUGGGAACUGCAUUUGUGACUGCAUCGCUGGAGUACGGCAGAGGGGGAUGGAAUUCCGCGUGUAGCAGUGAAAUGCGUAGAUAUGCGGAGGAACACCGAUGGCGAAGGCAGGUCUCUGGGCUGACACUGACGCUCAUGCACGAAAGCGUGGGGAGCAAACAGG